rnacentral:rRNA from 1 species
GACGAACGCUGGCGGCGUGCUUAACACAUGCAAGUCGAGCGGAAAGGCUCCUUCGGGGGUACUCGAGCGGCGAACGGGUGAGUAACACGUGAGUAAUCUGCCCUUGGCUUCGGGAUAACUACCGGAAACGGUGGCUAAUACCGGAUACGACCAAUCACUGCAUGGUGUGUUGGUGGAAAGUUUUUUCGGCCAGGGAUGUGCUCGCGGCCUAUCAGCUUGUUGGUGGGGUAAUGGCCUACCAAGGCUUCGACGGGUAGCCGGCCUGAGAGGGUGACCGGCCACACUGGGACUGAGACACGGCCCAGACUCCUACGGGAGGCAGCAGUGGGGAAUAUUGGACAAUGGGCGAAGCCUGAUCCAGCAACGCCGCGUGAGGGAUGACGGCCU